rnacentral:lncRNA from 1 species
CACUCAGGGAAGGGAGAGGACAGAGGAACCUGCCCUUGGAGUCUUCCAGUCUCUGCCUGUGUCUUUUUCCCUUGUGAUCCAACUGUGCGUCCUUACUGCACCAUUGUAGUAAAUGUCAGCAGUGAGCAUGUUACUGGCACAUUGAGUUCUUAUUGUCCCCCAGGAUGGAAAUCAAGAGAGACAACAAACAGGAGUAGAAAAGUAAACGUUUAUUAGCUUGUGCACAGGAGAGGCACAAGGGAGGCAGUGCAGAAAGGAAAGGGGCAGGUGACCAGCUCAUUAGGGAAUGGGAUUAUGGGGCUUUUAUUAGGUAGAGGCUGGGGAGAAGUGCCUUAUCAUGGCAUGGAGAGGUGGGGUUGUGCUUGUGCUUGCACUGUUGUUCAACAUGCCACCACAUGCAUUGCAUGGAUCAUUAGCAUGCUAGCUCUCCACCCCUGGGUGUGAUUUUUACUAUGCUAAUGGGGCUAGGGUCACCUUCAGUGGACUGCUUAGUGCCUGGGUGCAUGCGUAAGCUCAGAAGCAUCCAGAGCUGUGGAAUGUAGAUCUUGGUGGCCUCUACCUGGUUCUCCUGGCUUGCCAAAUGGUUAGGGGCCAUAUCUUGUUAGGCCAGGGGACUUGCAGAUGGCCCUGUCUCAUUAGGUUGCUUCCUGUCUCAUUCCCCCCAGAGAGAUUCUAUCCUCCUUAAUCUUAAGGAUCAUGGGCUAAGGUCUCUUCUUCUGAAGCUACUUCCUGCUGACAGGGAUUGAGAAGGGAGCCCUAUAUCUGGAAGGAGUAAAAAUCUUUUUCAGCUUGUCGCAGGGUCCAGCAGGAAUGAGAAUGAGGACCAGGUGAGUUGGCCAUUGGAAGUGCCUGGAAUCCUUGCAUGACCAUCAGUCUAACGUGGAAUUGUUGGAGCCUAGAGGACACAAACUUGACAAGAAGAUUAAAAAGACAGGAACCAAAAAUUAAUAGGAGUACAAUGAUUUCCAGGGGGUCCCAAAAAGGGAAGGAACCAACUGAGGGAUGGGAAAGCACCCUUGAUCAGUGACCACGCCUGAUUGGGGUCUAUCUAUCCUUGGUUAUGUCAGUGAUGCCAGGACGCUUGUUCAUAGAUUUCCCAGAUGUUGGUCUCACUCUUUCCUGAGUUAUUAACAUUAGUCAUUUUUAGAGAAACAAAAAGAAAAAUAAGGUUAAUGGUAGGAGCAAAUUAUAAACCAGUCUCUGAGUCCAGGGAGCAGCCAGCCAAAAAAAUUUUUAGGUGUCAAAGUCGAAGCAUCUUUUGUAGUUUGAAAUAUCUCUGAUGAUGUCAUUGGUGUUCUAGUGUCUUAUGAGUGGCUUACAUGACAGCAGACAUGAAUCUCCCUUAAGUUUAUAUCAAGCUGUCCAUCUUCAGUCUACAGAGCUUCAGAAAAAUGGCAGGUCCAGUUUUCAAUGAUUCCAAAUGAAAAUGAUGGAAAGGAAAGUUGAAAAAAUUAGUUUGCAGAUUUGUAGCCAGAUAUUUCAGGAGACUAGAAGAAUUCAGGGUCUGAUCCAGCUCACAGAUUGAAAACAAAACCCUCAAAAUAAUUAUCAGAACUAGAACCUAAUAUCCAUGAAUGUGUACUAUAGUUUCGAUUGAAACAUAAUUUUUCUCUCUAAAAUCACCCUCAUUUUUACCAAAGAUAGCCAAUUAAGACUCACUGGUUUGCAAACUAAGUCUAGUUUCAACAAACUUUGCCCAAGAAUUUACACAAGUACAGGAAGAAUAGCCAUCGGUUAUAUAGGCUCUUUCAAAUCUGCUUUGCUGGAACUUUUUAUAAGGACUCUCAGAUUGAACUUUAAACACCUCUUGAGGUUAGGAAAGCCAAGCCAAGGACUUGUCAUCAGGCUUUGCCUGCAAUACCAUAGAUUUGGAGGAAUUCCUCUCUUCUCUUGAAGUUCCCUAAAAUAUUGAGGUUCCUUUCACCUGCUAGAUAAGUUACCUUCUUUCCUUACCCAGUAAGGUUGCUAGGAACUCUGUAAACAAGGUACCAGGCCAAUAUUUCCAAGCGGCUUUGUUCCAGAAAGUCAACCUUUAUUCCUCAAAAACUGUCUUGUAAUAUCUGAGUCUGUAUGUUUCUCUCAAAUAUGACAUUCCAAUCAAAGCCUUGGUAAUAUAACCAAUGUUUCCAAUUGUGUCCUGUUAUAAGGAGAACAGAUUCUUAUUGAACUUAUGCAAAUAACUAUAUGGCCAUGAAAACAAUACUCACUCACUAGGAGUUUCCAAAUUCUUGAGGGAUCACGUAGGGAGAAAAAGAUAAAUGUUUCAAUUCUGCUUACAAAGGUAUAAUUUAACAAAUUGUUAUAAGUCAUAGUUAGCAUGAGAGAAAAGAAAAAGAGAUUUCCUUAAAUCUGGAAAAAGAAAACAUCAAAAUAAAUCAGCAACAUCUCAAAUGAAAAGUCAUAUAAAUUAUAGUCAUUGUCAUCAGUUCAUUCAGUCCUGUGUAAUAUAUACUUGAUCUGAAUCUUCUGUUAGCAGUUUUAUGAAGCCAUCAGUUUCUCCCUUAGAGUUCUGUGAUUUCUUACCCAGUUCAGUUUUAUGAUCUGAAAGUUUUUCAGAAACCUGUAUUUCUAGAGUAAGUGUCAGAUUCUUUUCCAUGAAUCUCUCUGAAGACAAAACAUAUUUGCAAAAGCAAAAAGCAUCAGAGUAAAACAGCAACUAUCUGGAAAUGACAAAAGACUCAAAAGGGCAAUUGACAAAGAAACUUGACUAUUUCUCUGACAUACAACAUUUCAAGAUAAUAACUAGAAUUAUGGCUGACAAUCAGGACAGAUGAGAAUUUUAGGAAUGUUAUGCAAUUUCAAAACACCUAUAUCAAUAGCAUUCACCCACAUAAUACCACCUAAGAAGGCUUAUCAUCACUCAUUUGACAAUGUUUCCCAUGUAAUUUAACAGACCAAAUAAGCCUAAUUAGUUUAGUAUCUUCCUCCUUGUAGGAACACAGAGCAAAUUUCUUUGAGAAGUCUCAGGGGCCCUCUGAAAAUCCUCAGAGAAAUUUUCUUCCUUCUUCCAGGUCAAAAGAAAGCCUUUAUUCAGUAUUUGAAUAUAUUUUUGAGGGGAAGCUUGUCAAAAAUAUCAAAAGAUUUUAAAACCCUUGUUCAAAUACGAAACAAUGCUCAGUUAUCCAUUCAAUCAAAGUGACAACAGAAACAGUCAGAAGCAAACAGAGAGUUAAAACAGUCAAGAAACCUUGAUAGAGAGACCUCAGUCUUUUUGAACAUAGGAAAUUAUUUUAACAAAACAUAGAUUUUCUGUCUUUUUAGGUAGACUUACUCAAAAAUAAAGAAAAACCUUUUGUAACCUCUUUACCAAGAGCAGACUAAAAGUCCAAGAAAAUUAUCCUUUUAAGAGAGAAAGAAACUUUCAUUUUUGCACCAGUUUAUUUUUGACACUAAAGCUACCUACUUAAUGAGAUUUAUUUCAAUCUUAACCAACUUGACCAUCCAUAAAACUCUUUUUAGGGUUCCUCUUCCACAAACCUCCCAUAGCUUUCUUUCUAUGUUCAGAAUUUGUCCCCUGCUUUCUUUCUUCUCUUCUGGUACUUUAGGACAAAUUUAUCUUUCUUAACAAAACAAAAAUAUUUCCAUUCUUUAUACUGUCUUUACUGAAAACAUACAUUUUACUUUCCUUGAAUACAAACAUGUUUUCCUUAUUAAUUUUUAGUAGCUUUAAUUACAUGUAUUAAUUAAAAUUUUUAACCCUCACAGACCUUAAUGAAAACUAAAAAGCGAGCAAUUAUGAACUGUCCUCUACAUUAGCAUUCUGUGGCUUGACAAAUUUAUAAAUACUUUCCAUAAUUUCUAGAAACAUCCUACUUCAUAGUACAGUCUUAAUAAAAUACAAGACAUGCUUACCAAUAGACCCAAACAUCUUUUAGUUUCUCUGUAAUAAGAAGCCAAAAGUAGAUAAACUUAGAUGUGUUUAGCAAUAAUGUAUCAGUAUAUUAUCUUAUUUGAAAAUGGCCCAGAUAUCCAAUGAGUUUUUUAUCUCUUAAUUUCACCUAAUGAAACCUCAAAGCUUCAAGUUACAAGAAAGAUUUUGAAAGUUAUUUUAAAUACACAUGGCAUAACACAUAAUUACUGUUAAAAAGUUCACCCAACAUUUUUAUCUUGUUCACUUCUAUUCAGUUUACUCAUUCCCAAUAAUUAUUUAGAUUGCCUGCAAAACUUCAUGAGACAUUACACAAAAUUAGCCAUCAUUUUAAGUUGUUAUUUUUGUUGCCAUUUUUGUAACAGAGAUUACAUCAGCUUGUUUGACCAAUAAACGUAGAAUAAAGCCUGCAAGUCUGCAUCAUAUCCGGUGCUAACUCUGGAGGACAUGUCCAUUUUAAUCAAACCAACAAACAUAAAUAAGCUUUCAUUUACCAAAUAUUAACUUUAUCACGUUAAUGAAAGACAUUUUGGUUAGUUUCUUUUACAUUUAGAAGUAAUUUAGGUAAGUGUUUACUUUGAGCCAAUUAAAGAGGGCUCUUAAUUUUAGCCAUCCAUCCAGAGGUAAAAUAUCACACAUGUAUAAUAUACAUGAAGAUACACAUGCACAGAGUCUCCACAUCUAUUGUUUUAAAAUGACUAGCAUGAAUCAGGUACAGUAAUACACUAGUUAUGAAUCCAAAUUUUGUUUUAAGACUUUUCACUAGGGGCCUGCCUGGUGGUGCAGUGGUUAAUUUCACACAUUCUGCUUCGGUGGCCCGGGGUUCACUGGUUCGGAUCCCGGGUGCAAACAUGGCAUCGCUUGGCGGGACAUGCUGUGGUGGACGUACCACGUGUGAGGUGGAGGAAGACAGGCACGAUGUUGGCUCAGGCCAGUCUUCCUCGGCAGAGGGAGGAUUGGUGGCAGAUGUUAGCUCAGGGCUAAUCUUCCUCAAAAACAAACAAAAAAAAGACUUUUUACUAAUAUUUGUGGAGAAGACAUUCAAGAUGCUAGAUUUUUGGCAGGAGCACUCUUUUGGCCUUUUUUUUUUUCUUUUUUCCUUUUUUUCCCCCUUUCAGUCUUAAGAAUUUGUGAUGGGCUAGAUAUUCCCUGGAGGGUUGGCAAGCUCUUUGAGAUAAAGGAAAUGGGUGGAACUUGACCUGCCUCUAGAGCUGCAUUUCCAGUCUUGCAAGGAUUUUUUUAAGGAUCAUUGCUCUUGAUUUCUCAGAAAUUGGGUUAUGAAUUCAUCUACCUGUCCAAUUGCUUCAUAAAGGCACAGAGAAACCACUCAAGUUUUCUCCCAGAUGGAGUUUCUGGGGCAUAACCCAUCCAGUUGAAACUGUUCUCAAUUAGUUAAAAUGCACUCGAGGGGUGAGUCUCUGGGGAUGCUUUGGGCGUUCCCCAUGGUGGUAAAGCACCAUCAGUGUCUGGCUGUCAGCAGCCGGAGUAGCGUGCAGAGCCCAACUGCAGGUGUCAACAUAGUUAUAAGAUUUAGUCAAGUCCCAUUCAGCCCAGGCACUUAGUCCCUGAGCCAGAACAAGGCAAGCCCAGGAGGCAAGAGGCAAAGGCCUGGGGCAGGCCGGAGGCUGAGGCUCUCAAUGCCAGGGUUGAGAGUUAAGUCCCUGGCAGAAAGUUUUUCAAGUUUUUGAUUUUAUAGAAGAUCCAGGUUCUGCUCAGGUCCAGCUCAAACUUAACGUCAACUUGGUGACAACAGAGGAGGUGAUGAAUGAGACAGACAAAGAAGGGAAAGAGGGGCCGGCUCCAUGGCCAAGUGGGAAACUGCCCAAGUGUCUUCCAAAGUGGCUGCACCAUUUUGCGUUCCCACCAGCAAUGAAGGAGAGUUCCUGUUUCUCCACAUCCUUGCUGGCAUUUCGUGCCGUCCGUGUUCUGGAUUUGGGCCAUUCUAAUAGGUGUGUACUGGUAUCCCAUUAAUGUCUUAAUUUGCGUUUCCCUAAGAAUAUAUGAUGUGGGGCAUCUUUUCAUAUGCUUAUUUGCCAUUGGUAUAUCCUCUUUGGUGAGGCGUCUGUUCAAGUCUUUUAACCAUCAGAUUGUUUAAUUUUUUAUCGUUGAGUUUUAAGUGUUCUUUGUAUAUUUUGGAUAACAGUCCUCUUUCAGAUACGUCUUUUGCAAAUAUUUUCUCCCAGUCUGUGGCUUGUCUUCUCAUUCUCUUGCGAGGGUCAAUUGGGGCUCUAAGACAGACAUGGCAAUAAGGGCUCGCGAAAGCCUGUCUUAACGUGUGGACUUGGAACACAGUCUUCAGGCCCAGCCGCGUCUGGGCUUUGCUGCUGCUGAAGAAAAGCCACUGGCUUUUCUGGACUCCUGAACUCACAGAUCCUGAUUGCCUGGACUGACUCUAAGCCCAAACCUGAUCCUGUCUGCCCCAGGCUGAUUCGCUCUCAGUGUGCACUGUGCUCAGUGGAAAGCAGGCAUAUGCUCAGUGAACAGGACUUUGGCUCUGGGAUGUCGGCAGAUUGAGGACACCCUCUGUGGGACCAUAAACUGUGAAAACAUCAUGGAUGCUGGCGCGACCAUCUGGGUCACAUAAAAACGCCCACAGGAAGAGGCUUCUUUGAUGGAACUCUCUGAAAUCAAGCUACUGUUCAGCUCUAUGUUUCUGAGGCAGAUGCUAAUUUCUGACGUUUUCUAACUCAUGAUUCCUGCCAAAAGCUGCAAGUUAGGGGAGGGCGCAUCACAGAUGGUGACCCCUCUGGUCACUCCUAAUAGACAGACUCUUGACCCCCUCGGGCAGCUGUCCUCAGAAAUGGAUUGAUCUGCCGCAGGCUGCUCAUUGGAUAAAUGAUCAGGACAAAUGGAAGGGGUCGGGGGUUGUAAAAAUUAUUCUAAAAGUUCAAGAUUUCAUCCUGACCAGUUCCUGGAUAUGAUGUGUCUUUCAGGUAAGUUGUAUAAAAAUGUUAUGCUUUUGUGCCUCAUUGCAUCCAACUCUUCUGCACAGAAAGUUUGAAUGAGAAUUUUUAAAUGAUUGGGAAUUCUAGGGCCGGCUGGGUGGCACAGCGGUUAAGUGUGCACAUUCCGCUUCUCGGCAGCCCAGGGUUCUCCGGUUUGGAUCCCCGGUGCAGACAUGGAACUGCUUGGCAAGCCAUGCUGUGGUAGGCGUCCCACAUAGAAAGUAGAGGAAGAUGGGCAGUAUGUUAGCUCAGGGCCAAUCUUCUCAGCAAAAAGAGGAGGAUUGGUAGCAGUUAGCUCAGAGCUAAUCUUCCUCAAAAAAAAAUAAAAUAAAAUGAAAUAAAAUAAAAUGAUCGGGAAUUCUAAAGUAUCAACCAAAAAAGCAAUUAGAGCUAAUAAACAAAUUCAGAAAAGUUACUGAACAAGGUCAACAUAUGAAAGUCAUUUGAAUUUCUGUAUGCUGGCAAUGACCAUCUGAAAAUGAAAUUAAGAAAACAAUUCCACUUACGAUAGCUUUGAAAUGAAUAAAAUACUUAGGAAUAAAUUUAACCAUGGAAUUGUAUGACUUGUACACUGAAAACUACAAAACAUUGUUGAGAGAAAUUAAAGACUUAAAUAAAUGGAAAGAUACCCCAUGUUUAUCGAUUGGAAGUCUUUAUAUUGCUAAGACGGCAAUACUCCCCAAAUUGAUCUACAGAGUCAAUGCAAUUUCUAUCAAAAUUCCAACUAUCGUUUUUUCAGAAAUGGACAAGCUUAUCCUAAAAUUCCUAGGUAAUUGCAAGGGGUCUCGAACAGCCAAAACAAUCCCGAAAAAGAACAAAUUUGGAAGACUCACACUUCCUGAUUUCAAAAGUUACUACAAAGCUACAGUAAUCAACACAGUUGUACCGGCUUAAGGACAGACAUAUAGAUCGACGGAAGAGAAUUGAGAGUCCAGGAAUAAACUCAUACAUCCACAGAUUUUCAACAAGGGUAUCAAGACCAUUUGACAGGGAAAGAAUGGUCUUUUCAACAAAUGGUGUGAGACAACUGGAUAUGCAAAAGAAUGAAGUCAGAUCCUGACCUCACACCAUAUACAAAAAUUAACUCAAAAUGGAUCAAAGACUUAAAUAUAAGAGCUUAAAUUAUAAUCCUUAGAAGAAAACAUAGGAAUAAAUCUUCCUGACCUUGGAUUUGGCAGUUGAUUCUUAGAUAUGACACCAAAAGCAUAAGCAACAAAAGAAAAUAGAUAAAUUGGGUUUCAUCAAAAUUAAAAACUUUUGUGUAUCAAAGGAUAUUGAGGUAGUGAAAAGACAACCUACAGAAUGGGAGAGAAUAUUUGUAAAUCAUAUAUCUGAUAAGAGUCUAGUAUCCAGAAUAUAUAAAGAGUUCUUACAACUCAAUGACAAAAAAAUAAUUUUUAAAUAGGCAAAGAACUUGAAUAGACACUUCUCCAAAGAAGGGAUACAAAUGGCUAGUAAGUGCACAAAAAGAUGUUCAACAUGAUUAGUCACUAGGGAAAUACAAAUCAAAACCACAAUGAGAUACCACGUCACACCCACUAGGGUGACUGUCAGCAAAAACACAGAAAAUAACAAGGUUGGGCAAGGAUGUGGAGAAAUUGGAGCCCUCAUGCAUUGCAGGUGGGAAUGCAAAAUGGUGCAGCCACUCUGGAAAGCAGUCCAGCUGUUCUUCAAAAACCUAAACACAGAGUGACCACGUGACCCAGCCAUUCCGCUCCUACCUGUAUACUGCAUCCAAGAGGAUUGAAAACAGGUGUUCAAACAAAACCUUGUACAUGAAUGUUCGUAGCAGCGUUAUUCAUAAUAGCAAAAAAGUGGGAAUAACCCAAAUGUCCACCACCUGAUGAAUGGGUAAACAAAAUGAGAUAUACCCAUACAAUGGAACAGUAUUCAGCCAUAACAGAAUGGGGAUGAUGGGGUACUGAUCCGUGCUACAACAUGGAUGAAACUUAAAAACAUUAUGCUCAGCGAAAGAGAGCUACACACUGUAUGAUUCCAACUAUAGGAAAUGCCCAGAAUAGGCAAAUCCAUAGAGACAGAAAAUAGAUUAGUGAUUGGCAGGGAAUGAGGAAAUGGGGGAAUGGAUGGUGACCCCUCACAGGUACAGAGUUUCUCCAUAGAGUGAUGAGAAUGUUCUGGAACUAGACAAUGGAGAUGCUUGCACGACAUUGUGGAUGUACUAAAAACCAGUGAAUUGUAUAUUUUAAAACGGUGAAUUAUAUAUUAUAUGAAUUUUACCUCGACAAAAAAAAUGUUGGGGAAAAACAUAUAAAGUUAUGAUUACUGGCUGAGCCACACGAAUUUUGUAACAAAAAAGGAAAAACACAAACUCGGCCCCUGGGGAGGCACGAGAAUCGGAGGAGAGACACGCAUGAUCUUUGUCUUUCCGAACUACCCCUGGGAGCUCCCCGCGCCUCCCCAAAGAAGAAAACAAGAGGAAGGCCCAGUGUCACCUUUCCCAGUGGUUGGACUGCUUUGAGUUCAAACUGCGAGUUUAGCCCCCAUGUCUGUCCCUCCAGCUGCUCACACCUGGCAGAGCUGACCAGGAGAGAGCAGGAGGGGGCCCCAGCCCUGAAUAUGUCCAGGUAUUCUGUUAAUGGGAUUUGCUUUAACUGGCUGAAUCCAGGACCCUGGAGGACAUCACUGCGUCCAGUCCUGCAGGUUGGUCUCCCUCUGGGGGCUCCUACUGAUGAUAAUUUUUCUGCAGAGACGCCUUGGCCAAGGGUCGAUGGAGGGGACUGCCGAAGAGAGUCAGCAUGGCAGGCCUGGGGCAGCUGUCUUUAGAAGGGCUGCUUACAAGGUUGGCCGGUGGCUGGCGUCCAGGGCUUUCCCAUCAUUCCCUAAUUGCUGAGGGGGUACACAGAGCUUGGACUGUGCAAACGUGUGGUUUACGCUGAGCACUAGUGUUCCUUCUUGGAGUCUGGAAUUUUGGUCCCUGCUGGGCAGAGGGGGCCUAUGUGACUGGUCCCCAGUGAAAACCUGGAUGUUAGCAUUCUAAGGGGCUUCCCUGGGCAGAAACGUCACACACGCCUUGCUGCCUUUCUGUCACACUCUGUGACCCCUCGUGGGAGGGAGAGAGCACAAAAAAUCCUGGAGUGAUUCCUCCAGACCCCACCUGUGUCUCAUUCCCUUCUGAUCUGGCUGUGUAUCCUCAGAACAUUGCCGCAAUAAAUCUUAGCCGAGUUCAACUGCAUGCUGAGUCCCAUGGGUCCUUCCAGAAAAUCACCGAACGUGGGAGCGGUCUUGGGGACUCCCAACACUGGACCUUGAAUCUUUCAGUUCCAUUCAAAUGUUGCCAAAUGUCCCAGUAAUAUUUUUGUAUAGCAAAAGGAUCCAGGUCAGAAUCAUGUGUGAUGGCUUCCAGUUGUCCCGUCUCCUAGACUCCUCGAUCUGGAACAUUUCUGCCGUCUCUUUUCCACUUCUAUCAUCUUGACAGAUUUGAACAUUAUAGGCCAGUUUUGCUAUGUAGAAUGUCCCUCAAUUUAGUUCUGUCUGGUGGUUCCUUGUAAAUUCAGAUUGUGCAUCUUUGACAAGAAUAUCACAGCAGUGACUUUUUUGUCCUCAUUCGAUCCCAACAGGUGGCCCAUGAUUUCAAUUUGUCCUGUUACUGACAGUGCUCACCUUGAUCACUGACUUAAGGUGGUGUCUGCCGGCCUUCACUGUCAACCUAAUCUUUUCUCUCCCUAAAUAGUGUCUGUAGGAAGCAUCUUUCAAGGGCGGGCUUGCAAGUUUGGCCCUUGGCUGGCCUCUGGAAUCUCGGAUUUGGGGAGUGAUAAGGGAUGAUGAGGAUCGAGUGCCUGGAUUGUGUGAAUAAUACGGUUUAUGCUAUUUUCCUUCUUAAAUUCCGGUACAUGUUAGGAAUUAGGUCCACGCUGUAUUCAGCAUAAGCCACGGUGUUUACACAAAUAGUCCAGCCACAGUAAACCACUCUUAUCAGUUGGGGAAUGGUGAGAACACUUCCAAAAGCCAGGUUUCCAGAUGCCAGCCAAGGGCCAAACUUGAAAGCAGGCCCUCCUAAAGAUAAAAGCCCCAGGCCGGCUAUGUUGACUCUUUUCUUCACAGUCCCCAGCUCAGCCCCACGUGAAUGUAGCCACAAUCCAAACUCUCUUUUAGUUGCUCUUCUGAAAUAUGUGGAACCUCCUAUUUCAUCUGUCUUCCUCUUUGAGCGGCCCAACCCUCUCUCCCUCCCCUGACGGGUGGCGACCUUGAAGCCAUCGGAAUCAAUAGCUUGGGUGGGAUACCAGCAUCUUCCAUAUGAUGUUUGCAGCUGGGGUGCCUUCCGCUGUGUCAUGGAGACAUUGUGGGGGAGCUUUUGAGGAGUCUGAAUGACAGGUGCACAGAGUGUUAGCUUUGCCAGCUCUCCCAGGUGUGCAGUGUCUGGAGUCUAGUUAUUUCAGACUACAGCCCACAGGCAGAGAAGAACCCCUUAGCAGAGUUCAGUUCCUUCCAUCUCUGCUUACAAACUCAUCAGUUCUUGUCUGAGCUCAUCUCUCUUAUAAGGAUAUUGCAAAAAGCAAAAAGGGGCAGGAUACACGCCUGGGUUUUCCAACCAGUUCCCUAGGACCACAAGCUCAGGUGACCAAUGGCCGGCUGAUCUAGUUACCAAAGCAGAUGGUUCUACAAAAUAUUUUCUUGGGACAUAAAAAAAAGUCACCAACUUCUCGUCCUGCAGUAGCUGGCCUUUGCCACCUGCUGCAUGAUCACUAAGACAAUGUCACAUGUCUUAGAGUUUUAUUUUUUACAUCAGCACGCUUCUGGUGUCAGUUUCUAUAUUAGUUAAGACACAGGCUAAUCAAUGUCUGUAUUAACCCACGGAUUCUAAAAUGCGCUGCCUCAGGGAGCGGGGAAGCUCAUCUCUCAUUUCAUAUCUUACAGGUUGGUGGGCAGCAUGGGGCAGGUCGGUGGCUCUGACCCUUGACCCAUCAACUCUACCACCUUCAACAUGUGCCUUCCAUCUCUAGGUCCAAGGAAGCUACCUAAAAUGCUAUUUCCCACCCAGUGGGGAGGGGAAGAAGGGAAAUUGGCUUUGUUUUUAAGGAGAUGAACUAGAAGUUGCACAUAAUUUCUGCUCACAUCUCAUUGGCCUGAACUUAGUCACAUGGCCAUGAAGCUGCAAAGGAGACUGGGAAAUGUAGUCUGUGGCUGAGCGAUCAGCUAAAACUUAGGGGCUUUUGUUACUAAGAGGAAGAAAGGGAAAAUGGAUAUUGAGGAAACUGAUGAAGUUAGCAGUCUCUGUCACAGAUGGUGUGGGGUUAACUACUCCAUGUCCUUCAGUGUCCAUUCUCCCCAUAAUAUCUCUGAUCAUAAGCCUUCCUGAAAUAAAAACUACAUUUCCCAGCUUCCGUUGCAGCCAUACGUGGCCAUGUGACUAAGUUCCAGUUGGUGGUAUGUAAGGAAAACUGAUGUGUGCAACUUGUGAGAUGUGACAUUAAGGUGGGAAGAAGCAUGCCCUUUCUAGCCUCUCUUCAGCAUUCCUGCUUCUCGGAAGGCGGAUGUGAUGGCUGGAGCCACAUUGUGGGCCAUGAGGACAAGAGCCACAUCCUAAGGUUGACAGAAUAAGCCAGAAGCAGCCUAGAUCCUAGACAGUGGUAGAGCCACCCAAAUAGCCUACAUUUGAAUUUUACCUGAGAGAGAAAUAAGCUAUAUCUUGUUGAAGUUACUAUGAUCUUCAGUGUCUUUACACAAAGCCAAAUUCAAGUCCUAAUUAAUACAGAGAAUGUCAUACUUCAUGAGCCUUUUCACUCAGUAUUACAUUUUUUUAUGUGUAUCCAUAUUGACUUAUGUAUAUCUAAUUCUUUCUUUCUUUCUUUCUUUGGCACAGUUCCUUCAUGGGUCAUUGACCUAAGGCUCUUUAUUUUAUCGUGGUAAAAUAAACAUAGCAUAAAAUUGACCAUUUUGACCAUUCCUAAGUGUACCAUUCAGCGGCAUUAAGUACCUUUCAAUGUUGGACAACUGCCACUAUCCAUUUCCAGAACUUUGUCAUCAUCCCAAAUAGAAACUUUGUCCCCAUUAAGCAGUAACCCCCCAUCCGCCCUCCCUCAGCCCCUGGUAACCUCUACUUUACUUUCUGUCUCUAUAAAUUUGCCUAUUCCUGGCACUUUUUUGAAGUGGAAUCUUGCAGUAUUUGUCCUUUCGUGUCUGCUGUAAUUCAUUCAUUUUAACAACUGUGCAACAUAGUUUCCAUCUCUUCCUUUCGGUCACCUUUGUCAUCCUUUAAUGAAGUCUCAUAAUUUAUCCCAAAAUGAACUGGGACAUCCCUUCUUGGCAUGUGGGCUAUGCACCUUGCUUCUUUUUUGCAUGAGAGCAUAGAGUCUUUUUUAAAGACUUAUAUAUUCUAAUUGGUCAUUACUGCUGUUAUAGAGUGCUGUUGGUUUUUUUGUACGUUGAUCUGAUAUCCAGCUGACUUGCUGACAUUUCUUCGUAGUUCUGUUACCGCCCAAGGGGGCUCGUAGUUCUGUUACCGCCCAAGGGGGCUCGUCUGUCUGCUCACCGCAAGGCAUGCUGAUAGUCAGGAGGCAGGGGGGUAGGAGGGAAAGGACUUUAUUACAGCUUGCUAGCAAGAGGGAAGAUGGCUGACUCAUGUCUGAAAGAACCAUCUCCCAGAACAAAGACUACAGGCCAGUUAUAUAUGGGGCCAAUCUCCAGGUGGGGGAGGUAGCUGGUCUCUGGGAGGGGCAGACAUCUGGUCCCAGUUCCUGACAGUCCUUUGUUUUACUGGAUAUGCAUCAGAGAAUGGAGCAGCUGCCAUAUACCCUGAUCUUUCAGUUGUCAUUGAUGAUGGCUAUCAAUACAGGCUCUCUGCCCGGGGCUCAUCACAUUCCUAAGGAACUUAAGAGAACAAAGUUAUCAAGUUAUGGCAGCUGAGAAGGGCCAUAAAGUCCACAGAGCGUGUCUGGGUUAGUUGGUCAGAGGUCAUUUAAAGUUACAAUAUGGCUUCCUUUCCACAAUAUGGCUUCCCUUAUGUCAACCUGUGUUGAGCUGGUAUCAGUUCUUUACAGGAAAUGUUUCAAAUUAACUCGCAUAUUUAUUACAGGUUUCCAGUAGCCUCCCAAUAGCAGGCUGACGAUUCCCUUUUAUGUAUAAUUGGCCACAAAACUUUUACUCUAAUUGAGUGUUGAAUUCCAUCCAGUGGUUUUUCUCUUCUAAUUUGUUAAUAUGGUGUCUUCCAUUAAUAGAUUUUCUUUUAAAUUUUUGCUGUGGAAUUGUCACAGGUGGGAAAGUGGAGCAGAUGCUAUCAUGUGCCCCGCUAGAUCCCUUCCUGGUGGGGAGGCAUCCUUUCUACCAGCUCCAGGAGUGCUGGUGGCUGCUGGCUUCCAGCUGAGAGAUGCACUCGGCUCAAGAGACCCUCCCUCUCAAGCUUGUGCCCCUUUCCGCAGGGCAGCCCACGUUCUUUGUCUGCUCAAUAAGGGGGACAAAAACCUGGCUCGUGCCUCAGUUAGGGACAACCCAGAAGGGCCGUCCUGGUCCCCUGGAGGACGGCUGAGCUCUUGUUGCAACCACAUCAACUUCUCCCCGAGCCCCUCCUGCCUCCCCUCUUCCUUACAAAUGUCGCCCCAGAGAGCACGCCCCAGAAAGCAUCUGCUCACCGCAGAUCUCCAACCCAGAGGCUCUUUCCUGGGAAAUUCUCCAUGCCAAAAACCGCACGUACACAUGUGUGUUUAUUUUUAAACAAAAAUAAAAUAAAUACUUAAGUGUCUGCCAAUGAAGUUCUGGAAUAGAAUAUUCCUAGCACGUUAGAAGCCACCUGUGGGUGCUCCCCAUCUCCUUCUGCUCUCCUCGAAAAGAUCAUGGAUAUCCUGAUUUUUGUAAUAAUCUCUUGUUCCUUUGUUUUUUUAGUGUUUUGUACGUAUGUAUCUAUGUAUUUCAUAUAUGUAAAUAUAGCUGUGUCUGUUUUGACCUUUGUAUAAAUGGAAGCCUACAACUGUGUUCUCCUGGGACUUGCUUCUUUCAUUCAACAUCGAUGUGAGAUUCACCCAUUUUGAGGAGAUAGCAGUUGUUUGUUACUUUGGUCCAUUCUGUGAAUAAACUGCAAUGUGUGUGUCCCUUCCCUCCUUAGCGGACAUGUGCGUCGCCUCCAGUUGCUAUCAACCUUCUCGAACGUGCCUCUUGGGCCGAUGGGC